GCUAAAAUAAUAAAACGCGCAUGCGCACCACUUUCUCUCUUUCCAGCAUGUAUCCUGUAAGCGUGGACGUUCUUGAGGGCCGCGGAGUCGCCAAAGCAGAAUGCUUUACUAUGUUACAUCUGGUCAGGAAACUCAGAUGACCAAGGCUAUGAUAAGGAGUGAUAUGGAGACUACAAGAAAUGAACUACUCAGAAGAAGUAACCUGAGUAUGGAUGUCUCAAAACAUGUCUCUUAAGAAGUAUUAGAUCGAGCGUGACAAGUACAGAUUUGAAUUGGCUGCAGUUUGUCACAUCAAGAAACGAACAUGGAUAUUACAAACUGGACAUGGAUCUCCCAGGACAUGGAAACCCAGAUGACUAAGGCUAUGAUAUGGAGACUACAAGAAAUGAACUACUCACAAGAAGUAACCAGGGCAUGAAUGUCUCAAGACAUCUGUUUCUUAAGAAGGUGCCAGCUCCUGGUGCAUAGUUGUAUACAAACUGCAGGAUCUGCUGGUGGAACUCUUCCAAGGUCUGGUCUCGUCUGUGCAGGGACUCCAGGUCAUGCAGAUCACAGGGAAACACCGCAUCAGGUGCAAUAACAAGCGCCGAGGCCCCUGUGUUCCCAAGACACACUCUCAACAUGCUGUAAUAAAAACUGGAUCUUGACUCAUAAAUAAUAGUGAACUAAUAAAGAAGGGAUAAAAGGUGAAUGUUGAAACCUUCAACUGAAAUAAAUGUCUAAAAGUUUGA